rnacentral:lncRNA from 1 species
AUUGAAGCAAUAGUGUUAUAGAUGUGUUUUGUGCUGAAAAAACAUUAUAUUUAUCGCGAAGAUAAAGAUAAAGCGUCCACAUAAUCUGGCAUUUUAAAAGGGUUAGAAAUCCGCGUGCUCAUCGUAUAUCAUAUAUUUUGAACGUGCUUCUGAAUGCAUGACUGACCAGCUUUGAUCCCUUUUGACAAUCUUACUUCACUUGAAUCAUUUGCUUGCACAGUCCGAAACAGCCACUAUUGGAAACCUGAACUUUUUGUUUUGGUUGAUGGCCUAUGUUUUGGACCAUUAGAUUAGAACUCUCCUAGCCGUUGAGCAAUGUUGAUGUCAUCUGUAAGUAUCCUGCUAAUGUCAUAGUUUAAUUCAUCUGAUAAUGUACACCUCUUUAAACCA